rnacentral:rRNA from 1 species
UCCGUGAAGUGUUCGGAUUGCGGCGACGUGGGCGGUUCGCUGCCUGCGACGUUGUGAGAAGUCCACUGGAACCUUAUCAUUUAGAGGAAGGAGAAGUCGUAACAAGGUUUCCGUAGGUGAACCUGCGGAAGGAUCAUUG